UGUAUUCACUACUGUAAGUCACUCUGGAUAAGAGUGUCUGCUAAAUGACAUAAA
rfam:Salmo salar isolate Sally breed double haploid chromosome ssa21, whole genome shotgun sequence.